rnacentral:lncRNA from 1 species
CACCCUUUCCUCACCACGGUACCUGGUUGAGGGAAGUCACGGCCAAUCUAGGGAUAACCAGCUGCAUGAUGAGCUGCAGGACAGAGGUGACCAGCCCAGCCAGGAUGGCCCAGACCUUGGUAUUUUGCAUGAGCUGAACACACAAGGCCAGAUUCUCAUUCCAUUGAGACUCUCUUGACUCAGCAAAGAGAGAAGAUGGCAAAAGUCCAACCGCUUCUCUCCAGUUCUGCAUUCAGCAUUGGGCCAGAUCCAACAUAGUCACCCAUCCCCAAAAUCCUCAGAAGGCAGGAUUCACCCCUCAUGAUGCAGAAUGUGCUUAUAUAUAUUUUAUUUCUUACUGUAUCUUGGGGAAGGAGUAUAGUAGUUUGUAUGACCAUUCAGCUGGACUUCCCUUCACUACAUCCCAUUUGCAGUAAGUGCUCCUUGAGACAAGAAGUACAAAGGCUGCUGAAUGGUCAUACUUUAGCUCUUCUGAACUCAUUUGCUCCCAAGAGGGCCCCAUGGACAAUAGUUCUGAUCUUUUUAGUAUAGAAAAGCCUCCUGCUUUUC